rnacentral:rRNA from 1 species
GUAUCAUGGCUCAGGAUGAACGCUAGCGGCAGGCUUAACACAUGCAAGUCGAGGGGCAGCAUAAUGGUAUAGCAAUAUCUAUGGUGGCGACCGGCGCACGGGUGCGUAACGCGUAUGCAACCGUACCUUUAACAGGGGGAUAACACUGAGAAAUUGGUACUAAUACCCCAUAAUAUCAUAGAAGGCAUCUUUUAUGGUUUGAAAAAGUUCCGAAUGGUUAGAGAUGGGCAUGCGUUGUA